UGGGAUUUGUAGUUCCUUCGGAGGUGGAGUCGGGCUGGCAGCCUGUGUGACAAGAGUCGGGCCCCUCGGCUGAGGCGGCGGCUCUUCCACCGGCUGUGCGCGAGCGAGCGGGCGAGCCGGCGAGCCGGCGAGCGCGGGCCGAUCCGUUUUCUUCCAAAAGGAAAAUAAUUUACGCCCGUUGGGUUGUGGUCUUAAGUCCUCUUCGGGAGUUGGAGGAUCGAAGUGUUUACGUGGUUGAGAACAGGAAAAUGCUUUAAAAAAAUCCAAACAUUUAAUAUAUCAACAAGAUUUCUGAGAGGACGUAUUCCUGAGACAUAGAAAUGAAGACUAAGAAUUCCAGUGUAGAAAAUCGAGACAUGGAAAGUCACUUGAGAAAUGAAAUUCAUACAAGAUGGAGUGAUAUUUCUGAAGACGGACUGUAAUAAUGAAAAAAAUUAGAGGUUAUCUAAAAAUAGCAUGGAUUUUACUAGUAUCUUUCCAAAAGAUGUGAAAAUUGGAUCAAUAGAGAACACAUUUCCUUGUGAGUAGAGUUGUCCCCACAGCCCAUCAGAACAACAAAGAAAAUGUCAAAACUUAGUUGGAUUUUCCUGGAAAGGUGUGUCUCAAAUUGGUGAAUGAUUACUCUGAAAAUUACCAUGUUUUAGUAAUCAUGCUAUUCUUAACUUUCCUGGUACUGAGAACCUAAUUUAUUUUUCUAAGUGUUAUUAUAGCAGAUGAUAAGGAAAAUUUGGUAUCUUUUUCCAAGAAUGCAUUCAUACAUCAUUAACA
rnacentral:lncRNA from 1 species